GAUGAACGCUGGCGGCGUGCCUAAUACAUGCAAGUCGAACGCUGAAGGAGGAGCUUGCUCUUCUGGAUGAGUUGCGAACGGGUGAGUAACGCGUAGGUAACCUGCCUGGUAGCGGGGGAUAACUAUUGGAAACGAUAGCUAAUACCGCAUGACAACAGUUAUUGCAUGAUAACUGUUUAAAAGGGGCAACUGCUCCACUACCAGAUGGACCUGCGUUGUAUUAGCUAGUUGGUGAGGUAACGGCUCACCAAGGCGACGAUACAUAGCCGACCUGAGAGGGUGAUCGGCCACACUGGGACUGAGACACGGCCCAGACUCCUACGGGAGGCAGCAGUAGGGAAUCUUCGGCAAUGGACGGAAGUCUGACCGAGCAACGCCGCGUGAGUGAAGAAGGUUUUCGGAUCGUAAAGCUCUGUUGUAAGAGAAGAACGAGUGUGAGAGUGGAAAGUUCACACUGUGACGGUAGCUUACCAGAAAGGGACGGCUAACUACGUG
rnacentral:rRNA from 1 species